rnacentral:rRNA from 1 species
ACUCCUGCGGGAGGCAGCAGUGGGGAAUAUUGCACAAUGGGCGCAAGCCUGAUGCAGCCAUGCCGCGUGUAUGAAGAAGGCCUUCGGGUUGUAAAGUACUUUCAGCGGGGAGGAAGGCGAUAAGGUUAAUAACCUUGUUGAUUGACGUUACCCGCAGAAGAAGCACCGGCUAACUCCGUGCCAGCAGCCGCGGUAAUACGGAGGGUGCAAGCGUUAAUCGGAAUUACUGGGCGUAAAGCGCACGCAGGCGGUCUGUCAAGUCGGAUGUGAAAUCCCCGGGCUCAACCUGGGAACUGCAUUCGAAACUGGCAGGCUAGAGUCUUGUAGAGGGGGGUAGAAUUCCAGGUGUAGCGGUGAAAUGCGUAGAGAUCUGGAGGAAUACCGGUGGCGAAGGCGGCCCCCUGGACAAAGACUGACGCUCAGGUGCGAAAGCGUGGGGAGCAAACAGGAUUAGAUACCUAGUAGUCCCA